UACGGAGGAGCUAGCGUUGUUCGGAAUUACUGGGCGUAAAGCGCACGUAGGCGGCUUUGUAAGUUAGAGGUGAAAGCCCGGGGCUCAACUCCGGAACUGCCUUUAAGACUGCAUCGCUUGAAUCCGGGAGAGGUGAGUGGAAUUCCGAGUGUAGAGGUGAAAUUCGUAGAUAUUCGGAAGAACACCAGUGGCGAAGGCGGCUCACUGGACCGGUAUUGACGCUGAGGUGCGAAAGCGUGGGGAGCAAACAGG
rnacentral:rRNA from 1 species